rnacentral:rRNA from 1 species
UACGUAGGUGGCAAGCGUUGUCCGGAUUUACUGGGCGUAAAGGAUGCGUAGGCGGAUACUUAAGUCAGAUGUGAAAUCCCGGGCUUAACUUGGAACUGGCAUUGAACUGGUAUCUAGAGUGCGGGAGAGGAAAGUGGAAUCCUAGUGUAGCGGUGAAAUGCGUAGAGAUUAGGAAGAACACCAGUGGCGAAGGCGACUUCUGGAUCCGUAACGUCGGA